rnacentral:rRNA from 1 species
GACGAACGCUGGCGGCGUGCUUAACACAUGCAAGUCGAACGGAAAGGCCCUGCUUUUGUGGGGUGCUCGAGUGGCGAACGGGUGAGUAACACGUGAGUAACCUGCCCUUGACUUUGGGAUAACUUCAGGAAACUGGGGCUAAUACCGGAUAGGAGCUCCUGCUGCAUGGUGGGGGUUGGAAAGUUUCGGCGGUUGGGGAUGGACUCGCGGCUUAUCAGCUUGUUGGUGGGGUAGUGGCUUACCAAGGCUUUGACGGGUAGCCGGCCUGAGAGGGUGACCGGCCACAUUGGGACUGAGAUACGGCCCAGACUCCUACGGGAGGCAGCAGUGGGGAAUAUUGCACAAUGAGCGGAAGCCUGAUGCAGCAACGCCGCGUGCGGGAUGACGGCCUUCGAGUUGUAAACCGCUUUCGCCUGUGACGAAGCGUGAGUGACGGUAAUGGGUAAAGAAGCAACGGCUAACUACGUG